rnacentral:lncRNA from 10 species
AUUUUGUGGACUCGUGGUCUUCCUUGUUAGCUUGGCAUUUCCUCCUGAGUACACAUAAGCACUGUUAGUUAUGCAGACAUAAACAGACCUUUAAAGAGUUAGUGUCCUGGCUGGCAACCCUUAUGUUCUCCAGGCCACCUGGGCAAGCUGACAUAGAAAUGACUCAGGUUCCAAAGACAAAUGGUGGAGACAUGAAAAGAAAGCUAGUCCAAUUGCCUGGACAUUUUCAGUUACUUCUCCAUUUGGAAGCAGGCAUGUAUUUUGUUUGUGAUGCACGAGUUUAUCUAGCCCUCUUUAUUUAAAAGCCCAUUUUACUUCCCAUUGAACUGACACAUUUUCAUGAUUGAGGAUAGGGGAUCAUAAUUGCAAAUUGCUACAUUGGUCCUGAGGCCAAAACUCAAGGUAGUAGAUUGGAGACUUAGACAGCUUACAUCAUCCUUUAGUGCCUUCAUGCUUCCCACAGGCUAGCUCCUGUUUGUUGAAAUACUGCUCAUGGGGUCAAUAUCAUGAGGUCAACUUCCUAAGCCUGUUCCUUAGCUGCACACUACUAAGACAUCUUAAAAAUGUGAAACCUUGAUUCAAAGAGAGAUCAAAUAAGUGAGUCUGGCUCACUCACUAUUGCAGACCUUUCUCUGACAUUGUGAAAAUGCUUAACACAUGUACAAGUGAUGGUAACUUGUGCCCUCUUUUUGCAUAUGAAAGAGACUUUUUUCUUUUUCUGAACCAAGAACAAUUAUUUUGCCAUUUUAAAAAAUACCAUUGGCCUAUGGGCUAGCACAAUCAAUUAAGAGGUAUAAUUUUAUGCCUCUGCUAUGAAUAAGAGGUUAUGCUGUGAUGGCUACCUAAAGAUAGGACAGCAAAGUAAAUUUGAGGAUGCCAAAUAGAAAAAGAUAUUCAGGAAAUAAAGGGGUAAAUUGGAGAAGGCCUUGUAUACUGGACAUUUUUUUUUUUUUAAAUAUAGAUAAGGAGACCCAUGGAAGGUGUUUAGGCAAGGAAGUGACAUGACAAAAGUGGUAUUUUGGGAUAAACUGAAAGAGAAUAAGUAGGAAGGUGUUCACUGCCUGCCCUGUAGAUUCUGUGGGAGCAGGAACACAGUGGCAACCGCCUGGCCUUAGUGUGAUUCUGUGGGAGCCCAGCUGUUGGGAAGUGACUACUAGGGCUGUGUAGAAGGUCUGGCUCCUGAGAAUUCUCUCCUCCCUCAUCUCACUGUCUCCACCCAGUGGGCCAGGAGAUUUCAAGUGAGGGAUGUCGCCCUCUAAGCAGAGCAGUAUCCCAGGUGGAAGAAAAGGGGGUUCUUGGAGGGCAGAAGCACCUGGCUGGGGAUGUUUGCAGCUGUGUGUCAUAGUGGAGGUGAAGUUUGAAAUGGCCUCAAGGGAUUGGUCACAUUUCUCUAUACCCCUUUUUAAACUCUGAGGAAAGGAUCAAUCUAAGACCUAGGUGACUUUGAUUGGUCCCUCCGUCCAGAGCCACUGUGCUAGCCAAGCCAGCAGAUGUGCUGAAUACAUCAUGGGGGAAAAAUAUGGAUAAAUAGAGGAAUUUGAUUGCUAUAAAAUGAAGAUAAGCUGAACAACCUAUAGCAAAGGAAGUUAGAAUUAGUGGACCAGAGACAUAAGAAUAUAAAACAAACAUAAAUAGCCACAAACGGGGGAAAAGAUAAAAAUAUCAGAAAUAGCAAAAAGAAAUGAGCAUCACAAAGAAUAUUCAACUAGAGAAUUGGGUAAUAAGAAAGCAAUAGAUGAAAUGAAGAACUCAAUAAAGGGAUUGAAGAGCAGAAUGUAAACUUUGGAUUAACUAAUCAAUGACCUGGAAGUCUCAAACCCCUAGGCAGCAGUAAGAAAGAGAAGGACUGCAGUGUUUUUGAAAGGACAAAAGGUUAGCACUACCCUUGACAAGGAUGGAAGAGGCCCUCAGGCCUAAAAAUUGAAAAAAAAAGAUGAGGACUUCAUAAAAAAGAGAAUUAAAUGAUAUGGCAUAUAAAAAUAGAAAUGUCAACAUGAUAACAAUCUCAGAAUGAGCCUGGGCAAACAUGGCGAAACCCUGUCUCUAUAAAAAAAUGAAAAAUUAGCUGGAUGUGGUGAUGCAUGCCUGUGGUCGCAGCUACUCAGGAGGCUGAGAUGGGAGGAUCGCUUGAGCUGGGAAGGUCGAGGCUGCGGUGAGCGGUGAUUGCACCAUUGCACUCCGGCCUCCAGCCUAGGUCACAGAGUGAAACCCUGUCUCAAUUAAAAAAAAAAAAAAAAAAAAAAGUAAAGUCUCAGAAUGAGAGAGAAACAAUAAACAGUAGUGGAGAACUAUUUUGAAUUAAUGAUAAUCUACAUAGAAAUACAGAUAAAAGCUUUAGAUUGAAGGGGUUUCGCCAGUGUUGUACAGUAGAGAUAAGAAAAAAAAAUCAACACCUAGAUACAUUACAUUAUCAGGAAAUUUAAGAACUUAAAAGAAGAUUCCUGAGAGCAAGAGCAAAUGACCUUGAAAGGAACAAGAAUAAGCUGUCAUCACACUUCUCAAUAGCAACACCGGAUGCAAGGAGACAGUGCAGCCAUACUUCCAAAGCACGAGAAUUUUGCUCCUGGGUUUUAUACCCAGAUACAUUAUCACUGAAAUGCAAGGGGCAAAAUGAAGAUAUUCUUAGGGAUGCAAGGUCUAAGAAUGUUUAUCUUGCAAGGACAUGCUUUGAAAUGCUGCUGUAGGACAAAAGGUCAUUCUAGGAGGAUGAUAAGAAUACUGGAAAUGUGUUAGUCAGUGCCCAGUCGGGAAGACAGAAAUAAUUUUAGAUCAUUCAAACUGAAAGGGAUUUAAUGUGGGGCGUUGAUUCUAAAGAUGUUUGGAGGAGCAAAAGGGAAAGGGUGUUCUACCCAGAGCUCAGGGAUCUGCUAGCAUACCUGGGAGAGAGUGUAUGAGCCACCCUCACUGGGGUCACUGCUGGAACCAUGGAGCCAUUGUCCACCAGUGCCACUGAAACCACAGGGCUGACAUUGAGCAGGAGCCACCUACCUCUGCUGCUGCAGCUGAGGCACUGUCAGAAACAAUGGCCCCACCCUUAUUUCUACUUGCCAGUCAGGUGCAGUUCCCCCAGAUUGGCAGAACCAAAUUUAACUUUAGCUGUCAAGGAAGUCUGGGGAAUGUGGCUUUCUGCUUACCUGUCUUCCAGAGGAGAAUAUAAGAGAGUGAGUAUGGGGCUAAAGGCCAACAGACAAAUAUCUGACCUUGGAGCUAAGGGUCUGUAAACAAACUAGAAAAGUUAAUUCCUGUCCAAAUGAAGGGAACAAAGAGAGAAGACAAGAAAGGCACACCCAUUACAAUCUAGUACAAAACCCGACAAUACCAAUAUGACCAAUACCAACGUGACCAACUAAAGCAACUGUAAGAUACCACUUUAUGGACAUCAGAGUAGCAAAUAUUAUAAAAUUGAAUGAUUCCAAGUGUUGGCAAGAAUUUAGGGGAAAAAAGGCAUGUGAGAGUUAACUGGUACAGACACAAUCUAGCAAUACUUAGAGAAACCAAGGGUGUAUUUAUAUUCUGUAUGAUCCAUCCAACUGACGCCUGGGAAUAUACACCAGAGAAACGCCUGCAACAUAUCCAUAAAGGGCCGUAAUCAAUUAUGUCCCCUGCUACCUUUUAUGUGGUAGCAGACAGGUAGAUGAGAAAUUAGGUGUCUAUCACUAGGAAGUUGAAUAAACAAAAUUUGAUGGGGUACAUACUAUGGAAUAUACACCAGGUAUAUAGGAACACUAUGGAUAGACAAAAACAUAGUGAUAGGUAAAAAUACAGAUGAUCCCCAACAUAGGAUGUUUCGACUUAGAUGUUUUGACUUUGUGAUGGUUGGACAUUUAUAGACAUUUAGUAGAAACCAUACUUCCAGCACUCAUACAAUCAUUGUGUUUUCUGCUUUCAGUACAGUAUUCAGCAAAGUAUAUGACCUGUUCAACACUUUGUUAUAUAAUGGGCUUUGUGAUAGAUAAUUUUGCCUAAUUGUGGGCUAAUGUAAGUGUUCUAGGUUAAGCUGUGAUGUUCAGUAGGUUAGGUAUAUUAAAUGCAUUUUCAAUUCACAAUAUUUUCAACAGUAACAGGUUUAUCAGGAUGUAACCCCACCAUAAGUCAAGGAGCAUCUGUGAUAAAAAGUAGAAUAAGACUUUUAGCACAAUUUACUAUGAAAAAUAACACACAUACACAAAAAUCACUACAUGGCUUUUAGGAAUAGUGUAGUGGGUUGAAUGGUAUGUCCACAUUCCCAAAAGAUAUGUCCACAUUCCCAAAUUGUGAAUGUGAUUUUUUGGGUAAAAGGAGUCUUUGCAGAUGUAAUUCAGUAAGAAUCUCAAGAUGAUAUCAUCCUGGAUUAUCUAGGGGGACUUUAAAAUCCAAUGACAAAUGUUCUUAUAAGAGACACACAAUAGAGGCAGGGGACUGUGUGAAGACAGACAGAGAUUGGAGUGGUUUACAGGUUGAAUGUACACAGCAAGUAUACAAAUGUAUAUAGAAAGCAGACCUUUGGCUAAUAUUAACUUUAUGGCACAGAUAAACUUAUAAACUGUAUUAUUAUAAGCCACAAGCCAAGGAACACAUGGAGACACAAGAAGCUGAAAGAGGCAAGGAAUGGAAUCUCCCCUGCAGCCUCCGGAGGUUGUGUGACCCUGCCAACACCUUGAUUUUGAGACCUCUGCCUUCCAGAGCUAUGAGAAAAUAAAUUUCUGUGGCUUUAAAUCACCAAGUUUGAGAAAAUUUGUUACAGCAGCUACAGGAAGCUAAUGCAGACAGCUAUCCAAGAACAUACAUUGGCACACAUUACAGUGUCUAUGGUGAGGAAGGUUAGGGGAGUGGAGUGGAUGAAAAUGGGUAAAAAUAAAAUGAAAAAAUGAGUCUUGGACAAAUUAAUGAGACAGCCUGCCACAACUGAGGCAUAUGACCAACUCCAUGUACCUGAGGUUUUAAAAAUGUAAUUUCCCAUUUCAAUUUACCAUUUCCUUUGAAUUCUAGAAGGAUUAUAUAUUUUCUAUCUUUGCUAAUUGGGGUUUUUUACUUUCAAAGAAUAAUCUGGUCAUGGACUGUAUAUUUGUCCAUAAAGUUUCCUGAUUUUCAUGAUAAUUGUUUUUAAUAAUAAUUUCAUAAUUGGAUGAGCUUUUCACAUAUAAGAUUAUUAGCUAUAGGCCGGGCGCGGUGGCUCACGCCUGUAAUCCCAGCA